AAAAAUUCAAAACACGAUCGAUAACUUCGCGACAACCUCUCCCGAACUUUUAAAGCUUCCAGAAUAACGGGGAGAUUUACGAUCCUUUCUAGGCCUCUUAUGAGCCAGCGACCGAAAGAAAAAAUCUCAUGGGACCGUUUCGAAGACUUUUACACGGGCGUGAUUUAUGGCACUCUAUCUCGAAGAGUAUCGAUUAUCAACGAUGACGUCGCGUCGUUUAUUCUCCACGAAGAAGAAACGGCCGGCCGUUGCUUUGGUAGCCGGCGAUCGAAGCGCCAUCUACCAUUUCGUUAAUCCGAACCGCUCUCUCGGUAAGCUUGAACGUUUAAGCGUUUAAUGGCGGUUAAAAGUAUCUCGCGUUGCACACGCGAGUUCCCACAGGGGAACACCUACAAUUACAGGCUAUUACAAACUGGUCGUGAGUCUGUUUCACGGCUAUGGUUUUUACAGGCGAGCCAGACGAAAAAGGAUGUAAUGGGCCUGCGAAGACGAGUUCGUUGAUUCGACGUGAACGCGAGAGACAACUUUUCAACACUGAAAGUAUUCCUAGAAGUGGCGUAACGUAUAAUCCGCGAAGAAGAACGGACGCAGUCCACUGACCAAAGACCAAGGAGACUCAAAGAGGACGAAGACGAAGAAGAAGAAGAAGAAGAAGAAGAAGAGGAAGAAGAGGAAUACAAAGAAGAAGAAAGAGGAGGAAGAAGGAGGCCGGGAACAAAUUAUAUAAAAGGACCACACACGGUGCACAAGAGGGGGCAAGGAGGCCUCGGACUGCUCGAGCAUGUGGAUGAAAAGGAUCGGUGGCUCGACAGCUCCGCGCCACGUGGGUGGUGCGAGCGCCAACCGACCCCGGAAGGAUCUCACGCUACCCCCGCC